UACAGAGGUCUCAAGCGUUGUUCGGAUUCAUUGGGCGUAAAGGGUGCGUAGGUGGCGGGGUAAGUCAGGUGUGAAAUCUCGGGGCUCAACCCCGAAACUGCACUUGAUACUGCCUUGCUCGAGUACUGGAGAGGAGAUUGGAAUUUACGGUGUAGCAGUGAAAUGCGUAGAUAUCGUAAGGAAGACCAGUGGCGAAGGCGAAUCUCUGGACAGUUCCUGACACUGAGACACGAAGGCCAGGGGAGCAAACGGG
rnacentral:rRNA from 1 species